UGAAAAUACUUUCUUCGUGCAUAUAUUAAGUACAAUACUGUGUGAAAUAAAUAUGCAAGCACAAUUGACAAAUCGUCUGUAUCACGUCAGUAACUCACGGGGGAAGUCGACAUCCAUCCUACCCGGCAUGUAAGAUUGAGCUGAAAAUGGAGACAUGUAGCAGAAACGUGUACUUACGGGAUCUCUACAUGCUGGAAGUCUUCCUCACUUGACCUGAUGAUAACCUCGCGUCCUGCCCGGUGGAGAAAGGCGGCUUGGAUCAUAUCCCAGUCUUCCAUUCUCCAGACAUCAUCUAAAACUACCAGAUGCAUGCAGUGGAAGGGGUAAUGAGCACCCUUCGACAUGGCACCCAUGAAGGACCUUUUUAUGUUGUUCUCCCUCGCCAAGAUGUUUGCCAUGUCGAUAAUAAUCUCGAUGCUGUAAGCUACAUCCCUGACCUCUGACACCAGGAACUUGGCGCAGAGAGGCAGCUUCUUGGAUUACAGCGGCGCCUGCCCUUUGCAACACAGCAGCAACCACAUGCUCGGCCAUAUCUCUUGAUUUCUGUAUUUGGUAUCACAGGGUUAGGCAACUUAAAAGAUGAUCGCAAUUGAGAACUAGAAGCCCAAAGAUGCAAUCAUGCAGCCGGACCGGGACAAAUACCUGUGCUAUCCGCCGAAGAGAACACUGGAUUCUGGAUCUGGAAGCUCGGUUGUCUCGAGAGGAAUUCGUGUGGUUUGUUGUUAUCCAGAAUGCCAAAGUCAGUUCAUGGACGUCGAUGACUGUGAAGUGCUGUUUCAAUACUCUGGGCUAGUGACGUUGACGCGGGGUCUUGUGACAGUGCUUCUUCUUUUGUUUUUCGAACGUGGACGGGUUCCUGAAUCCUGACUAGGUGUUGCAUUAAAAACAAUAUAAUUAGAACAAACUUUUCAUUAGUUUAUCACGAAAGGGCAAGGCACUCAACGACCGGCCCGGAUGGUUUCUGCAGUUUGUGGCACUACGCCACUACAUGUAUUGGCUCCUGGGCCACCAUGUGAAGCACUGAAGCUUUUAAAAAAAAAACUUGUAGUCCACUUUGUUAAGACAAUUGUUCAGGAUUACAAUCUGAUUGGAUGAGGAAA